UGGCGGACGGGUGAGUAACGCGUGGGCAACCUGCCUUACACAGGGGGAUAACACUUAGAAAUAGGUGCUAAAACCGCAUAAGCGCACAGCUUCGCAUGAAGCGGUGUGAAAAACUCCGGUGGUGUAAGAUGGACCCGCGUCUGAUUAGCUUGUUGGCGGGGUAACGGCCCACCAAGGCGACGAUCAGUAGCCGGCCUGAGAGGGCGAACGGCCACAUUGGGACUGAGACACGGCCCAAACUCCUACGGGAGGCAGCAG
rnacentral:rRNA from 1 species